UACGAAGGGGGGCUAGCGUUGUCCGGAAUCACUGGGCGUAAAGGGCGCGUAGGCGGCCUGAUAAGUCGGGGGGUGAAAUCCUGUGGCUUAACCACAGGGCUGCCUCCGAGACUGUCGGGCUCGAGCACAGUAGAGGCAGGUGGAAUUCCCGGUGUAGCGGUGGAAUGCGUAGAGAUCGGGAAGAACUCGGUGGCGAAGGCGGCCUGCUGGGCUGUUGCUGACGCUGAGGGCGCGGACAGCGUGGGGAGGCAAA
rnacentral:rRNA from 1 species